AUGGAGAAGGAGGCCAUGGGGGGGCAUGUAAAUAUGAUGCUGCCACUGGAGAACCUGAGCUCGGACCUCCCCAACGGUGGAGUCGUACUUGGCCAUGACAAGGAGAUCUCAACUCUGCAUGAAGAGAUUUCCGCUCUGAGAUCGAGGCAGAGGCAUCUCAACCGGAGAAGACGUGAGGCGCUGGACAAGCUCAUAGACCUCAAAGGAAGCAUCAGGGUGUUCUGCCGAGUCCGGCCGUCGAUCUCAACCAGCAACAUCAAGAUCAAAUCACCAGUUACUGUCGAACAAGAGAACAUCGUAGUUCGGGCAGUGGGGAUCAAGAAAGAUUUCAGUGUUGAUCGGGUGUUUGACCAGGAGUCAACGCAAGAUGAUGUGUUCCAUGACGUGAAGCCAGUCCUCCGAUCUGCACUUGACGGGCACAACGUCUGCAUCCUUGCUUUUGGCCAAACUGGGACCGGAAAGACCUAUACAAUGGAAGGAACUAGCGAUAACCUCGGCGUCGUGCCUCGAGCGAUUCAGGAGCUGUUUUCUCAUGCUGCUCAAGAUACUUCAUCCACAUAUUCUUUCUCCAUAAGCAUGCUUGAGGUCUACAUGGGAAGUCUCAGGGACUUGUUGGCACCAAGGCAGCAGCCUCUCUUCAGGUCCACAGAAGGCAAUACAACUUGUAACCUCAGCAUUCUAGCAACCACAAGUGGCUCCGUGCAAGUCGAGGGGCUUACCGAUGUCGCAGUACCGGACCUCAAGAAAGCCAACCAGUGGUACUGCAGAGGGCGGCGAUCCCGGUCGACAUCCUGGACAAAUGUCAACAAUGUUUCGAGCCGAUCACACUGCUUGACAAGAAUCACCAUAAGGAGAUGUGGAGGUGUGAGUGAGCAAGUCAGCAAGCUGUGGCUCGUGGAUCUUGGUGGUAGCGAGCGGUUGCUCAAGACUGGUGCAUCUGGGUUGACAAUGGAUGAGGGCAAGGCUAUAAACCUGUCUCUGUCGGCUCUUGGAGAUGUCAUCGCUGCACUAAGGAGAAAGAGAAGCCAUGUUCCAUACAGAAAUAGCAAGCUUACCCAGAUUCUCAGUGACUCUCUCGGCGAUGGUUCAAAAGUCGUGAUGGUGGUGCACAUCAGCCCUUCCAAGGACGACGUGGGCGAGACGAUUUGUUCGCUGGGCUUUGCGAAGAGAGCCAUGCUGAUAGAAUCCGGCAGGGAGCUUUCAGAGGACCUGAAAAUGUUGAAGCGGAAGCGGCUCGCGGAGCUUGACAAGGAGAUGCGCGACGCCGAGCGGGAGCUCGGGGUUCUGAAUGAACAAAUAAGGAGUGCCGAGACGUCGGCGGAGGAGAGGAAGAAGCUCCCUCCCUCCGUCUGUCAGCCUCUCGGCGACGAGAAGGGGUCGCCCAGAAGCAUUCUGGUGGCAGCCGACAGCCCUCUGCAGGCAACCGAGAGGGCCAAGAGCAGGAUGGUCCAUCAUGGAUCAGUCCCUCACUUCAUGUCCGCAACGGUGUGCAGCCGCCAAAGACACGGCGCAGCAGCCCAUUCCGUCGGUAAACCAAGGCUGACAAGAUCAGUGAACGCGUGCUCAUCUAAGCCCGGUGGGAGCCAGUCGUUCAGCCACUCCGCGUCCAAGGCUAGGUCGUCAGCGGCAUUCUCAUCCGGCGAGCCUAGGCUGAAAUACUUGUCUGUCAAAUCUGAUCAGAUCAACGUAAGCAGCAACAGCAUCGAUUCGACGGCGGCGUCGGGGCCUCGGCCAAGGGAGGGUUUUGUUUCCAGGCCGGUGCAGCUGAGAGCUCCCCUGCAUCAGCACAGGAGAAGGAUGUCAUGCUUAACCUGA
rnacentral:rRNA from 1 species